CCCUUUGUGAACAUACCUAUAACUGUUGCUUCGGCGGGUAGGGUCUCCGUGACCCUCCCGGCCUCCCGCCCCCGGGCGGGUCGGCGCCCGCCGGAGGAUAACCAAACUCUGAUUUAACGACGUUUCUUCUGAGUGGUACAAGCAAAUAAUCAAAACUUUUAACAACGGAUCUCUUGGUUCUGGCAUCGAUGAAGAACGCAGCGAAAUGCGAUAAGUAAUGUGAAUUGCAGAAUUCAGUGAAUCAUCGAAUCUUUGAACGCACAUUGCGCCCGCCAGCAUUCUGGCGGGCAUGCCUGUUCGAGCGUCAUUUCAACCCUCAAGCUCUGCUUGGUGUUGGGGCCCUACAGCUGAUGUAGGCCCUCAAAGGUAGUGGCGGACCCUCCCGGAGCCUCCUUUGCGUAGUAACUUUACGUCUCGCACUGGGAUCCGGAGGGACUCUUGCCGUAAAACCCCCCAAUUUUCCAAAGGUUGACCUCGGAUCAGGUAGGAAUACCCGCUGAACUUAAGCAUAUCAAUAAGCGGAGGAAAAGAAACCAACAGGGAUUGCCUCAGUAACGGCGAGUGAAGCGGCAACAGCUCAAAUUUGAAAUCUGGCCCUAGGCCCGAGUUGUAAUUUGCAGAGGAUGCUUUUGGUGCGGUGCCUUCCAAGUUCCCUAGAACGGGACGCCAGAGAGGGUGAGAGCCCCGUACAGUUGGACACCAAGCCUUUGUAAAGCUCCUUCGACGAGUCGAGUAGUUUGGGAAUGCUGCUCAAAAUGGGAGGUAUAUUUCUUCUAAAGCUAAAUACCGGCCAGAGACCGAUAGCGCACAAGUAGAGUGAUCGAAAGAUGAAAAGCACUUUGAAAAGAGGGUUAAACAGCACGUGAAAUUGUUAAAAGGGAAGCGCUUGUGACCAGACUUGCGUCCGGUGAAUCACCCAGCUCUCGCGGCUGGGGCACUUCGCCGGCUCAGGCCAGCAUCAGCUCGCUGUCGGGGACAAAAGCUUCAGGAACGUAGCUCUCUUCGGGGAGUGUUAUAGCCUGUUGCAUAAUACCCUUCGGCGGGCUGAGGUACGCGUCC
rnacentral:rRNA from 1 species